UGUCAGUUUCAGGGAAGGUGCAAUUCCUUACUGGCGGUAACCCGACCCCCGGGAUUCAUAACGGGAAGAAUCGGGAAGCCCGCGAACCGCGGAAGCGGCCGAUCCGGUGAGAAUCCGGAGCCAACGGUAAAAGUCCGGAUGGAAGAAACGGAGA
rnacentral:ncRNA from 2 species